rnacentral:tRNA from 1 species
GGUGGUGUAGUUAAGUGUAGAACAUUUGCCUAGCAUGCACAAUGCCCUGGGUUAGAUCCCCAGCACUGCAA